rnacentral:rRNA from 1 species
GAUGAACGCUGGCGGCGUACCUAAUACAUGCAAGUCGAGCGAACAGACGAGGCGCUUGCUCCUCUGACGUUAGCGGCGGACGGGUGAGUAACACGUGGAUAACCUACCUAUAAGACUGGGAUAACUUCGGGAAACCGGAGCUAAUACCGGAUAAUAUAUUGAACCGCAUGGUUCAAUAGUGAAAGACGGUUUUGCUGUCACUUAUAGAUGGAUCCGCGCCGCAUUAGCUAGUUGGUAAGGUAACGGCUUACCAAGGCGACGAUGCGUAGCCGACCUGAGAGGGUGAUCGGCCACACUGGAACUGAGACACGGUCCAGACUCCUACGGGAGGCAGCAGUAGGGAAUCUUCCGCAAUGGGCGAAAGCCUGACGGAGCAACGCCGCGUGAGUGAUGAAGGUCUUCGGAUCGUAAAACUCUGUUAUUAGGGAAGAACAAAUGUGUAAGUAACUAUGCACGUCUUGACGGUACCUAAUCAGAAAGCCACGGCUAACUACGUG